rnacentral:rRNA from 1 species
UUAAGCGACUAAGCGUACACGGUGGAUGCCCUGGCAGUCAGAGGCGAUGAAGGACGUGCUAAUCUGCGAUAAGCGUCGGUAAGGUGAUAUGAACCGUUAUAACCGGCGAUUUCCGAAUGGGGAAACCCAGUGUGUUUCGACACACUAUCAUUAACUGAAUCCAUAGGUUAAUGAGGCGAACCGGGGGAACUGAAACAUCUAAGUACCCCGAGGAAAAGAAAUCAACCGAGAUUCUCCCAGUAGCGGCGAGCGAACGGGGAGCAGCCCAGAGCCUGAAUCAGUGUGUGUGUUAGUGGAAGCGUCUGGAAAGGCGCGCGAUACAGGGUGACAGCCCCGUACACAAAAAUGCACAUGCUGUGAGCUCGAUGAGUAGGGCGGGACACGUGGUAUCCUGUCUGAAUAUGGGGGGACCAUCCUCCAAGGCUAAAUACUCCUGACUGACCGAUAGUGAACCAGUACCGUGAGGGAAAGGCGAAAAGAACCCCGGCGAGGGGAGUGAAAAAGAACCUGAAACCGUGUACGUACAAGCAGUGGGAGCACGCUUAGGCGUGUGACUGCGUACCUUUUGUAUAAUGGGUCAGCGACUUAUAUUCUGUAGCAAGGUUAACCGAAUAGGGGAGCCGAAGGGAAACCGAGUCUUAACUGGGCGUUAAGUUGCAGGGUAUAGACCCGAAACCCGGUGAUCUAGCCAUGGGCAGGUUGAAGGUUGGGUAACACUAACUGGAGGACCGAACCGACUAAUGUUGAAAAAUUAGCGGAUGACUUGUGGCUGGGGGUGAAAGGCCAAUCAAACCGGGAGAUAGCUGGUUCUCCCCGAAAGCUAUUUAGGUAGCGCCUCGUGAAUUCAUCUCCGGGGGUAGAGCACUGUUUCGGCAAGGGGGUCAUCCCGACUUACCAACCCGAUGCAAACUGCGAAUACCGGAGAAUGUUAUCACGGGAGACACACGGCGGGUGCUAACGUCCGUCGUGAAGAGGGAAACAACCCAGACCGCCAGCUAAGGUCCCAAAGUCAUGGUUAAGUGGGAAACGAUGUGGGAAGGCCCAGACAGCCAGGAUGUUGGCUUAGAAGCAGCCAUCAUUUAAAGAAAGCGUAAUAGCUCACUGGUCGAGUCGGCCUGCGCGGAAGAUGUAACGGGGCUAAACCAUGCACCGAAGCUGCGGCAGCGACACUAUGUGUUGUUGGGUAGGGGAGCGUUCUGUAAGCCUGUGAAGGUGUGCUGUGAGGCAUGCUGGAGGUAUCAGAAGUGCGAAUGCUGACAUAAGUAACGAUAAAGCGGGUGAAAAGCCCGCUCGCCGGAAGACCAAGGGUUCCUGUCCAACGUUAAUCGGGGCAGGGUGAGUCGACCCCUAAGGCGAGGCCGAAAGGCGUAGUCGAUGGGAAACAGGUUAAUAUUCCUGUACUUGGUGUUACUGCGAAGGGGGGACGGAGAAGGCUAUGUUGGCCGGGCGACGGUUGUCCCGGUUUAAGCGUGUAGGCUGGUUUUCCAGGCAAAUCCGGAAAAUCAAGGCUGAGGCGUGAUGACGAGGCACUACGGUGCUGAAGCAACAAAUGCCCUGCUUCCAGGAAAAGCCUCUAAGCAUCAGGUAACAUCAAAUCGUACCCCAAACCGACACAGGUGGUCAGGUAGAGAAUACCAAGGCGCUUGAGAGAACUCGGGUGAAGGAACUAGGCAAAAUGGUGCCGUAACUUCGGGAGAAGGCACGCUGAUAUGUAGGUGAAGUCCCUCGCGGAUGGAGCUGAAAUCAGUCGAAGAUACCAGCUGGCUGCAACUGUUUAUUAAAAACACAGCACUGUGCAAACACGAAAGUGGACGUAUACGGUGUGACGCCUGCCCGGUGCCGGAAGGUUAAUUGAUGGGGUUAGCCGCAAGGCGAAGCUCUUGAUCGAAGCCCCGGUAAACGGCGGCCGUAACUAUAACGGUCCUAAGGUAGCGAAAUUCCUUGUCGGGUAAGUUCCGACCUGCACGAAUGGCGUAAUGAUGGCCAGGCUGUCUCCACCCGAGACUCAGUGAAAUUGAACUCGCUGUGAAGAUGCAGUGUACCCGCGGCAAGACGGAAAGACCCCGUGAACCUUUACUAUAGCUUGACACUGAACAUUGAGCCUUGAUGUGUAGGAUAGGUGGGAGGCUUUGAAGUGUGGACGCCAGUCUGCAUGGAGCCGACCUUGAAAUACCACCCUUUAAUGUUUGAUGUUCUAACGUUGACCCGUAAUCCGGGUUGCGGACAGUGUCUGGUGGGUAGUUUGACUGGGGCGGUCUCCUCCUAAAGAGUAACGGAGGAGCACGAAGGUUGGCUAAUCCUGGUCGGACAUCAGGAGGUUAGUGCAAUGGCAUAAGCCAGCUUGACUGCGAGCGUGACGGCGCGAGCAGGUGCGAAAGCAGGUCAUAGUGAUCCGGUGGUUCUGAAUGGAAGGGCCAUCGCUCAACGGAUAAAAGGUACUCCGGGGAUAACAGGCUGAUACCGCCCAAGAGUUCAUAUCGACGGCGGUGUUUGGCACCUCGAUGUCGGCUCAUCACAUCCUGGGGCUGAAGUAGGUCCCAAGGGUAUGGCUGUUCGCCAUUUAAAGUGGUACGCGAGCUGGGUUUAGAACGUCGUGAGACAGUUCGGUCCCUAUCUGCCGUGGGCGCUGGAGAACUGAGGGGGGCUGCUCCUAGUACGAGAGGACCGGAGUGGACGCAUCACUGGUGUUCGGGUUGUCAUGCCAAUGGCACUGCCCGGUAGCUAAAUGCGGAAGAGAUAAGUGCUGAAAGCAUCUAAGCACGAAACUUGCCCCGAGAUGAGUUCUCCCUGACUCCUUGAGAGUCCUGAAGGAACGUUGAAGACGACGACGUUGAUAGGCCGGGUGUGUAAGCGCAGCGAUGCGUUGAGCUAACCGGUACUAAUGAACCGUGAGGCUUAACCUU